rnacentral:rRNA from 1 species
GACGAACGCUGGCGGCGUGCCUAAUACAUGCAAGUAGAACGCACAGUUUAUACCGUAGCUUGCUACACCAUAGACUGUGAGUUGCGAACGGGUGAGCAACGCGUAGGUAACCUGCCUGGUAGCGGGGGAUAACUAUUGGAAACGAUAGCUAAUACCGCAUAAUAUUAAUUAUUGCAUGAUAAUUAAUUGAAAGGUGCAAUUGCACCACUACCAGAUGGCCCUGCGUUGUAUUAGCUAGUAGGUGAGGUAACGGCUCACCUAGGCGACGAUACAUAGCCGACCGGAGAGGGUGAUCGGCCACACUGGGACUGAGACACGGCACAGACUCCUACGGGAGGCAGCAGUAGGGAAUCGUGGGCAAUGGACGAAAGUCUGACCGAGCAACGCCGCGGGAGGGAAGAAGGUUUUCGGAUCGUAAAGCUCUGUUGUAAGAGAAGAACGGGUGUGAGAGUGGAAAGUUCACAGUGUGACGGUAGCUUACCAGAAAGGGACGGCUAACUACGUG